rnacentral:rRNA from 1 species
AUUGAACGCUGGCGGCAUGCCUUACACAUGCAAGUCGAACGGUAACAGGUUAAGCUGACGAGUGGCGAACGGGUGAGUAAUGUAUCGGAACGUGCCCAGUCGUGGGGGAUAACGUAGCGAAAGCUACGCUAAUACCGCAUACGAUCUAUGGAUGAAAGCGGGGGAUCGCAAGACCUCGCGCGAUUGGAGCGGCCGAUAUCAGAUUAGGUAGUUGGUGGGGUAAAGGCCCACCAAGCCGACGAUCUGUAGCUGGUCUGAGAGGACGACCAGCCACACUGGGACUGAGACACGGCCCAGACUCCUACGGGAGGCAGCAGUGGGGAAUUUUGGACAAUGGGCGCAAGCCUGAUCCAGCAAUGCCGCGUGCAGGAUGAAGGCCUCGGUUGUAACUAGCUUUGUUACGGUAAC